CCUAAGUGUGUUACUUACUCCCUUCAGCCUUUUGUGUGUCUCUUACUUCACUCAGCCACUUUGUGUGCAUCUUUCUUGCUCAGCUCCUUUGUGUGCAUCUUGCUCCCUUUCCUCAGCGUCUCUGGGUAUCUUUUCUUAUCUCCCAGUCCCUUUGUUUGUCUCUUUCUCCCCUUCCCUCUGUGUGCUUCUUCCAUCCAACCCCUUUUGUGUAUC